rnacentral:rRNA from 1 species
AGUCUAAAUAGGCAAAUCCGUUUAGACAAUGCUAGGAUGUGAUGGGGAAGCCCUUCGGGGCGAAGUAGCUGAUUUCACACUGUCAAGAAAAGCUUCUAUCGAGUUUAAAGGCGCCCGUACCGUAAACCGACACAGGUGGGUGAGGAGAGUAUCCUAAGGCCAGCGAGAGAACUAUUGUUAAGGAACUCGGCAAAAUGACCCCGUAACUUAGGGAGAAGGGGUGCCUGUCUAUGACAGGCCGCAGAGAAUAGGCCCAAGCGACUGUUUACCAAAAACACAGGUUCCUGCUAAGUCGCAAGACGAUGUAUAGGAGCUGACGCCUGCCCGGUGCUGGAAGGUUAAGGGGAUCUGUUAGAGCAAUCGAAGCAGUGAACUUAAGCCCCAGUAAACGGCGGCCGUAACAAUAACGGUCCUAAGGUAGCGAAAUUCCUUGUCGGGUAAGUUCCGACCCGCACGAAAGGCGUAACGAUUUGGGCACUGUCUCAACAAUAGACUCGGUGAAAUUGUAAUCCCGGUGAAGAUGCCGGGUACCUGCGACAGGACGGAAAGACCCCAUGGAGCUUUACUGUAGCUUGACGUUGGGUCUUGGUACUACAUGUACAGGAUAGGUGGGAGACUAUGAAGCAUGGACGCCAGUCUGUGUGGAGUCAUCCUUGGGAUACCACCCUUGUAGUACUGGGAUCCUAACCAUAGGCCUUGAAUCAGGUCUUGGAACACCGUCAGGUGGGCAGUUUGACUGGGGCGGUCGCCUCCUAAAAAGUAACGGAGGCGCUCAAAGGUUUCCUCAGCACGGUCGGAAAUCGUGCGAAGAGUGUAAAGGUAAAAGGAAGCUUGAUUGCAAGACAUACAGGUCGGGCAAGGACGAAAGUCGGACUUAGUGAUCCGGUGGUACCGCAUGGAAGGGCCAUCGCUCAACGGAUAAAAGCUACCCUGGGGAUAACAGGCUUAUCUCCCCCAAGAGUCCACAUCGACGGGGAGGUUUGGCACCUCGAUGUCGGCUCAUCACAUCCUGGGGCUGUAGUAGGUCCCAAGGGUUGGGCUGUUCGCCCAUUAAAGUGGUACGCGAGCUGGGUUCAGAACGUCGUGAGACAGUUCGGUCCCUAUCCGUCGCAGGCGUAGGAAAUUUGAGAAGACCUGUCCUUAGUACGAGAGGACCGGGAUGGACGUACCUCUGGUGUACCAGUUGUUCUGCCAAGGGCAUGGCUGGGUAGCUAUGUACGGAAUGGAUAAGCGCUGAAAGCAUCUAAGCGCGAAGCCAACUUCAAGAUAAGAUUUCCCACCGUAAGGGUAAGACCCCAGGAAGACUACCUGGUUGAUAGGUCGAAGGUGUAAGUGCAGUAAUGUAUUUAGCUUAUCGAUACUAAUAGGUCGAGGACUUGACCAA